rnacentral:lncRNA from 1 species
CUGGGCGCAAGGUGCGCCGUGGAUGCAGCCCUGAGCCACGCGAUAGCCCCCUCGAGACCACCUGGGGUAGGAACACGAGGCUCGGGCUGGGGCGCACCUAUUCCCUGCUUCCAGAUGAGCCCUCUCCAGGCUUUAUCUCCUUCCCAUUUUGGCCUCCUUUACCUCCUCCCCCUCCCCGCCCUCUCCCUUUAGGCUAUCGAGGGGCUUUUCCUUGACCUUCGGCUUCCUGAAUCCCGCCUGGAGCCCUGGAGCUCCAAAAGGACAGACCCAAGCCUCAGAGACCCCUGGGCUCCUCUUCCUCUCCUGACCCCAGCCAAGGAAGGGAUGGAGAUGGGAAAGAGUUGCCUGGCGGCAGGCUAGCAGCUGGCCAAGGGGUGGCUGGGGAAUCAGACCUAACCCUCGGGCAGCUCGCGGGCUCCAGGAGACCAGUCCCUUCUGUGGGUCGCCCCCUGGAGCGGUGCUCGGGCUCCCUGGCCUCAGGGACCCCGGGCCCAGAGGGUCUGGGACCCCAGUGAUUCACCGAGGCCUCCCAGCUGGGACGCUCUGCACCCCACUUUCAGGGAUCACGGGUGCCCACCAGGGAAGGGGAGCCCGCGCUGUGGGCUACGUCUGAGCCGUCAGGUCCUCGCUGGGUCUGCGGGCGCCCUGGGGCGAGGGAGCGGGGAGCCCUACCCCGAGCAGGCACUCUCCCCAGAUUCAUUUUGGAAACCAAGGCCCCCGCGCUCGGCAAGUGAGCCUGGCUGCCGGGUGAGUCACCGCGAGCGGGCGACAAGGAUUCCCAGCAGCUGAUGGGAAAACUUCCAGCAAGACAGGAUCACGUGCCCAGGAUCCCACAGUGAUUCCGAUGUGGAGCCAGCCCUGGAAGCCUCUCCGUGGCUUAAGGACCCCCGCUGCUUUCUGGCCCCAAGCUUAGAGUGCCUUGAGUGGCCACCUACCAGCCCCCAGACCCUGGUUCUUCCUCUCUUCCACCCGUGGGAAUAGACCCGUGGACUCAGGACCUCCCAGGCAGUGUCUGAGCCGUGGAAGCAGAGGGUUCCUCGUCCGCCCGUCCACACCCCACAUGUGCCACUUUCCAAGGCGCUGGACCUGCGGGUGGAAUGGGAGCUCCUGGGAGCAAAGCCUGGGGCUCAAUCAAGCAUCCUCCCUACAUCCCCAGCAUCCAUCCCGGAUGGUGUGUGCCACACAGCAGCCCAGAGAGUCUGGCUGGGGGCAGCGCCUCUGCGUGCCUGCCUCCCUGGCAGCCCGGGUGGGUCUGGGUGUCCCAACUCUAGCCCCACCUCGAGAAGCGUGUGGAACUGAGGUGUGGCCAAUCAGAGUCCAGAAUUCCCCAGAGCCACGGUGAUUGGCUGGAUUUGGACGUGUGAAGGCCCACCUCAACCAAUCAGAGCCCUCCUCUGGGUAGGGCUGUCAGCAGAUAGGUGACCUGAGGAGGGAGGCGGGUCCUUCCCGACUCUUUGAGAACCCCAAUGCAGGCACGUGGCGCACACGCGAGCCACCCAACUGGGGUGAGCAAGUGCAUUCUCUUGUGGGCUUAAGCCACAGUCAGUUGGUCCCAAGCCUGUCCGGUGCUCCUGGUGCCCAUGCGCUGUGUUUACAGCCUGUCUGCGCCCUCCAGCAGCCCCAACAUGGGCCUCCCUUGGACCUCAGUUUCUGUAAAAACAGAUGUACCUUAUUAGCUAAUAAAGAACAUCAUGGUUUUAUAACUCUAUC